rnacentral:rRNA from 1 species
CCUACGGGAGGCAGCAGUGAGGAAUUUUCCGCAAUGGGCGAAAGCCUGACGGAGCAAUACCGCGUGAGGGAUGAAGGAUUUUGGUCUGUAAACCUCUUUUCUCAAGAAAGAAGUUCUGACGGUACUUGAGGAAUAAGCAUCGGCUAACUCCGUGCCAGCAGCCGCGGUAAUACGGGGGAUGCAAGCGUUAUCCGGAAUGAUUGGGCGUAAAGCGCCUGUAGGUUGUUUAUUAAGUCCGUUGUUAAAGCCUAGGGCUUAACCCUAGAAAAGCAAUGGAAACUAGUAGACUAGAGUAUGGCAGGGGUAGAGGGAAUUUCUAGUGUAGCGGUGAAAUGCGUAGAUAUUAGAAAGAACACCGGUGGCGAAAGCGCUCUACUGGACCAUUACUGACACUCAGAGGCGAAAGCUAGGGUAGCAAAAGGGAUUAGAUACCCCUGUAGUCCUAGCCGUAAACGAUGGAUACUAGAUGUUGUGCAUUAUGUACAGUAUCGUAGCUAACGCGUUAAGUAUCCCGCCUGGGGAGUACGCUCGCAAGGGUGAAACUCAAAGGAAUUGACGGNNGAGANGCGAGACGACACGAGGAGAG